rnacentral:rRNA from 1 species
AACGAACGCUGGCGGCAUGCCUAACACAUGCAAGUCGAACGAGACCUUCGGGUCGGGUGGCUCACGGGUGCGUAACGGGGUGGAACCUGCCCUGAGGUUCUGAAUAACGCCCUGAAAUGGGUGCGAAUACCGGAUAAUGUCUUCGGACCAAAGAUUUAUCGCCUUUGGAUGGGCCCGCGUUGGAUUAGCUAGUUGGUAGGGUCAAAGCCUACCAAGGCGACGUUCCAUAACUGGUCUGAGAGGAUGACAAGCCACACUGGGACUGAGACACGGCCCAGACUGCUACGGGAGGGAGCAGUAGGGAAUAUUGGACGAUGGGCGAAAGCCUGAUGCCGCCAUGCCGGGUGAGUGGUGAAGGGCUUAGGGUUGUAAUGUCAGUUUACACGAGGUGAUAAUGACAGUACCUGGAGAAUAAGCACCGGCUAAAUACGUG